AUGUCGGGCCACCUCGAUCGCCUCGCGCGCCCAGUCUCAGGUUUUGAAGGUUGUUCAAGUCACGAUGACAGGAGAUCAUACGAGAGGAGAUCAGAUUUUGAAAUCUCCGAAGAUGAAAAGAAGACAAGAAUGGGCUCUUUGAAGAAGAAAGCUAUAGAUGCAUCGAGUAAGCUUAGGCAUUCCUUAAAGAAGAAGAACAGGAGGAAGAGUGGCAGUCGGGUUCUCUCUGUAUCUAUUGAAGAUGUGCGUGAUCUAGGGGAACUGGAAGAGGUAGAAGCAUUUAGACAGGCGCUAAUUUUGGACGAGUUGUUGCCUACAAGGCAUGAUGACUAUCAUAUGCUGCUGAGAUUCUUAAAGGCGAGGAAAUUUGACAUUGAGAAAGCAAAGCAAAUGUGGACUGACAUGCUUCAAUGGAGGAAGGAAUAUGGUACUGAUACUAUUGUUGAGGAUUUUGAUUACACUGAGUUGGACACUGUUCUGGAAUACUAUCCUCAUGGUUAUCAUGGCGUUGACAAAGAGGGGAGACCUGUUUAUAUUGAAAGGCUUGGAAAGGUUGACCCUAACAAGCUUAUGAAUGUAACAACUAUGGACAGAUAUGUAAGGUACCAUGUGAAGGAAUUCGAGAGGAGCUUCUUGAUCAAAUUUCCAGCAUGCUCUCUUGCGGCUAAAAGACACAUCAAUUCGAGCACAACAAUUCUGGAUGUUCAGGGUGUGGGUUUGAAAAAUUUCAGCAAAACUGCACGUGAAUUAAUUAUGCGACUGCAGAAAGUUGACAACGAUAACUACCCUGAGACUUUACACCAAAUGUUUAUAGUCAAUGCUGGCCCGGGCUUUCGGAUGCUAUGGAGCACUGUGAAAUCUUUCCUCGACCCAAAAACCACUUCCAAGAUACAUGUACUUGGGAACAAGUGUCAAAGUAAACUGCUUGAAAUAAUUGAUGCUAGUGAAUUGCCAGAAUUUCUUGGUGGUACUUGCACCUGUCCUGAGUAUGGAGGGUGCCUCAAAGCUGAAAAAGGGCCAUGGAAGGACGCGAACAUACUGAAGAAAGUCCUUAAUGGCGAGGCCCAGUGUGCUCGGCAGAUUGUAACUGUUUCCAAUGGGACGGAAACUAUUAUUUCUUAUCCCAAGUCUAAGUACCAAACGGUACGUGGAAGUGAUACAUCAACUGCGGAGUCUGGAUCUGAAGCGGAAGAUGCAACUUCCCCCAAAGCUCUAAGAAGUUACAUCUCUCAUCCUAAGUUGACCCCAGUUCGUGAAGAGGUCAAGAUGAUCAGGGCCACUAGCUUUUCUACCCGUAUGCCUGAAUAUGAUAUUCCUGUUGUUGACAAAGCAGUGGAUGCAACAUGGAAGAGAGAACUGCCUCGGAAGGCACCCUUACCAUCCAAAGACUCUUCUUUGGCUACCGCCACAAAGGCAUCCAACAGGUCUUUGGAUCAGAUUAUUCCAGCUCUGAUGGCUUUUGUGAUUGCUAUUGUAACGCUGCUUCGGUCAGUUAAAGAUGUUGCCACGAAGAGAUUGGCAGAUAAAAAUGAGUCAGACGAACAAAGUUCUGCAGUAUAUCAAGACUGCAUUCCAAAAGAGGAGUUCCGGCCCCCGUCACCAGGUCCUGGGUUUGCUGAAUCUGACCUGUUCUCGCUAGUCUUGCAAAGGCUGGCAGAGCUUGAAGCGAAGGUUCAUGCGCUUGAAGAAAAACCUUCUGAAAUGCCUUGCGAGAAAGAAGAGCUGCUUAAUGCCGCUGUCCGCCGCGUGGAUGCACUAGAAGCCGAGCUCAUCGUAACAAAGAAGGCUCUGCACGAGGCUCUCAUCAGGCAAGAGGAACUACUUGCUUACGUUGACAGGAAGACAAUUGCCAAGGCCCAGAAAAAGAAGAAGAAGCCGAUGUCUUGCUACUAG
rnacentral:rRNA from 1 species